GACUUAUGAGUGGGUUAAAACACUUAAAUUAUGAACUAAGGAAAAUGAAGGGGCCAAAGAUGUUAAAAUCGAAACUUAUGUUGCUAAUUUAAUUAAAACAAAAACCAAACACCCCAUUUGGGGAUGUCUGGUCGUACAAAGAAGCAGGAGGCGAUGGGUUUCUUCAAACCCUAAAAUCCUUACUAAAACUCUCAAAUUGGAGGUGCAAAUCUGGUCCAAAACGAAAAUCGAGCAUAGAUUACUGAUCCCCAUUGCAAGGGGGUUGUAAGUUUGACUCUUGACAAGCUAGAUGGAGGCUUGGAAUGAAGCGGGUCAAACGGAGCAAGUACGAAAAGGAAAGCGUAAUUUGGAUGCGAGUCUUAGGUACUCAAGGAUUAUGGGUGACGAUCAAGCAACUUUUGAAGGACCGAACACAUACUCUUGAAGCUUCCGCAUAAAUCAACUUGGUUUAAACAAUGUUUAUGAUGUAAACUGUUUGCUAAACAACUUUUGAAAUGUUUAAACGACGUACUCAAUUAUGUUAUGUUGUAUUAUUUUAAAAUUGUAAAGUUUAAACAAACCCGUAUUUCUACAAAGUAUAUGUAGUCAUAAUUACAUUUUGUUUG